GAGGGUAUAGCUCAGUGGUAGAGUGUGUGCUUAGCAUGCACGAGGUCCUGGGUUCAAUCCCCAGUACUUCCA
rfam:Camelus ferus unplaced genomic scaffold scaffold1358, whole genome shotgun sequence.